CCCCGCAUAUCUAUUCAUCUUUGCUCCCAGCGAGCUUGACCGAGAAACCAGAAAGAACAAGGAGGAGAAAAGGUGGAUAAAGCGAAGAAAAUAAAUACGUUGGGAAGGGACAGGGAAUACGAGACAUAUAGUUUAUUUAUCCCUGUGCAUCCUCUUCUUUCUGGGCCUUGUGGUUUGGUGACCUACAUCUACUCUACCCAUGAGCCCCUGCAACUAGGGCUCAACCGUUUGACCUUGGCCUGACCUCUCACCUCUUCUCCAAAGCCACGCCCCCCUGGUGAAGUGUAUGGAGCAGUGUGAGAGCGCCGCGGCUCUGCUGGAGUCGGUGAGGGAGCAGGAGGUGCAGUUUGAGCAGCUGACCAGAGCGCUGGAAGAGGAGAGGAGGAGGGUACGCCUCACCAGCCCCCCGUCCCACACCCUCCCACACACACAGAACGGGCGCCUGGGGGAGGCAGACAUAGAACGACUGAAACUGAGUGAGGGAUACAUCAACGGGACACAGUACAGGAUGGUGGACCCAGUGCAUGGCGUUCUAGACGAGAGCUGCACACCAGAAGAUGAUUCACAGGACGUACAGUCUGUCUUCUCAGACGAUGGAACAAAUGGACGGAGGGCAGGGAACGCGAUGAAGAAGGUGAUCACCUCACGUACCGUCCUUCCCUCUGAUUCGAUGUCUAUCGACGGAGGACUGUCCGUCUCAGGUAUGGGCGGUUACAGUGCCACUCUGGACCGUACCUACAGGCAGGCUGGAGGGGGGGACUACCCCACAGCCACGGUCCCCAGGAACUACCACUACGGCCCCGCGGGGGGUUACGAUGACUACAGGAGCGCCCCGCCCUCCGAGGCCUACGCCAGCCUGAGUAGAGGCACACGCAUGGACGACCGCUACAGACCUGCGGAUGGGUACAGGACCCUGGACUCUGGGUACCGCGCCCCCAGCAGACAGCAGCUGGACCCCUACGCAGCCCAGCCCCAGGUGGGGCGAGGGGUGAGGGGUGUGGGCAGUGCCCUGGAGCUGGGGGGCAUGCGCUACGCCCACCAGGCCCACUUUGGUGUGGAGGAUGACCAGAGGAGUCUGGGAUAUGAUGAUAUGGAGUAUAGUAUGGCUCCUCCUCCCAUGCACCCAGGGUACGGCACCAUGCCACGACUAGGACCAGGCCCUGGAGGACUGGACAGACGCAGGCUCCGGAGUUGCGAGGACACUUUGGACGGAGACAUGGGAGGAGUCGACCCCUACACCUGGGGCGUCAACAUGGCGAUGGAGAAACCACUAACACAUGGCCAUUGGUCCCUCAUUGGACAGCACCCUGAGGAAGGGCCCGCCCACUUCCUGGAGACAACCGGAGCUUCCGGAGGUCAUCGCCAUGUUGAACUACCGACUGGACCCGGUCAAAACCAAUGCCGCUGCCUUCCUCCAGCACCUCACCUUCAAGAACGACAAGGUGAAGUCGGAGGUGCGUCGUUUAAAGGGGAUCCCUUCUCUGGUCUCGUUGCUGGACAACCCCAAGAAGGACGUGCACCACUCGGCCUGCGGGGCGCUCAAGAACAUCUCAUACGGACGAGACCACGACAACAAGAUCGCCAUCAAGAACUGUGACGGCAUCCCAGCCUUAGUCCGGCUACUGAGGAAGGCCAGAGAGCAGGACCUCACAGACACCAUUACAGGCACACUGUGGAACCUUUCGUCUCACGACUCGGUGAAGAUGGAGAUCGUGGACCACGCGUUACACGCCCUCUCUGACGAGGUGAUGGUGCCGCACUCUGGCUGGGAGAGGGGGCGUGACGGAGGAGAAGAGAGCCUCAAACCACGCCACCUGGAGUGGGAGACGGCCCUCACCAACACGGCUGGCUGUCUGAGGAACGUGAGCUCAGAACGUAGCGAGGCCAGACGGAAGCUGAGAGAGUGCACGGGAUUGGUGGACUCGCUCAUGUACAUUGUCCAAUCACAGAUCAACCGCAAAGAUGUGGACAACAAGUUGGUGGAGAACAGUGUGUGUCUGCUGAGAAAUCUGUCCUAUCAGGUUCACCGGGAGGUUCCUGGCUGCGAGCGCUACCUGGAGGCCGCGCCCCUAAACCAGGGCCCUGUCCCCGGAUCCAACAAGGCCAGCUGCUUCGGCUCACGGAAGGGCAAAGGUCAGAAAGAUGCGGAUGACGGGAGUGCGGACCAGGUCGAUAUCCCAAAGAGGACGACGCCUGCCAAAGGCUAUGAGCUGUUGUUCCAGCCUGAGGUGGUGCGUGUCUACACUUCCCUGCUGAGAGAGAGCAAAAACCCCUCAGUGCUAGAGGCAGCAGCCGGAGCCAUACAGAACCUGUGUGCCGGACGCUGGACUUAUGGCCGGUAUAUCCGGGCCACGGUACGUCUGGAGAAGGGCCUACCUAUGAUGGCAGAGCUGCUGGCUCAUGGGAACGACCGUGUGGUCAGAGCCAUGUCCGGGGCCCUGAGGAACCUGGCCAUCGACAACCGCAACCGCGAGCUGCUCGGUAAGCACGCCGUGCCCCACCUGGUGGCAGACCUGCCGGGUGGCCAGAGCCAGUCUGCACGACCUCUGUCUGAGGAGACAGUGGUGUCUGUGCUGAGCACGCUCACUGAGGUGCUGGGCAACAGCCUGGAGGCCGCCAAGACCCUCAGGGCCUCCCAAGGCAUCGAGAGACUGGUGCUCAUCAAUAAGGAUGGUAAGCGGUCCGAGCGGGAGGUGCGCGGGGCAGGCCAGGUGUUGCAACUGGUGUGGGGGCAUAAGGAUCUGCGGCGCCCCCUGGAAAAGGACGGCUGGAAGAAGACUGACUUCAUGGUGAACCUCAACACAUCCGCCAACGGCCCCUCUGCACGCACCAACGGGACCUACGAGGAAACGACCAUGCCAAUGCUAGACAAAGGGGCGAAGAGAGACAUGAUUCCACUGAAUGACUUAGGCCCUGAAGCCUACUCCACACUGGAUCAGCGGGAGAGGAGACGCUCUCUGGACAACUCCCUCGACACCACAGACACUUUACAGCGUGGGGUGUACGGGGGCAGAAAGGGUUCCCUGCCUCUGUUGGACUCCUACGAUGAAGAACUGAUGGUGUGCAUUACCCAGGGUGAGCUGCCCCAACCCUGCCAUUGCUGAGCAGAGAACACUAGAGGCCCAUGGACUUGCUCUCUCUCAUCCCCCUCUUUCUCUCCUUCCAUCGCAAGGCUAUGGGGGUUGGCAUCCAAAGAAAGUGGUUGUGUUGCAAUCAGAGUGAUAUUAAACACUCAAACUGAACACACACACACCAUAGUAGCGUCAGAAAUAUAUUCCCUGUUAUUUAAAUUAUAUUGAUAUUCCCUUUUCUCAAGGCAAUCGUCUUUGACAAUCAUUGUUUAUUUCUGUUUUCUGGUUACUUUCAUCCAACAUUUGGCUCAAUGAGUGUUUCCUGUCGUUUAUUAGAAUCCUCAUACUCAUCCAAGUGUUGUGUUAUUUUCAUCGUCGUGAAUCGGAUUACUGCCAUCUGCAUCCUGAGAUGAAUUUAUUUUUAAUAUCUGUAGGGUAUGUGUUUGUAUAUAAAAAGAGGAAAUGUUUUGAUUGGGGAGGAAGGUGUCUAUACCUUUUUUUAGGGUUGAUUUUAAUUUAAGUGGUACCCAGAUUGGGAUUGGUGAGCGGAAAGGUCAUGCGUGGCUGCUGGACCAAUGGGGCUCGGUCCUCAAAGGUUCAGAAUGUUUGUAUAGGAGUUAUUUUCACCUUUUUUAGGUAUAUUACAUGCUGGUUGGUUUUGGGGUAGUUGGGAGGAGCGUGUGAGGCCGGUGUGUAAGUGAGGGCCAUACAGGAGACCUGAGGUGUGUGUGUGUGUGUGUGUGUGUGUGUGUGUGUGUGUGUGUGUGUGUGUGUGCAUGAGUGGUUUUAUUUAACAAACAACCCAUAUGAGCCUGUUUUUAUUUUUAAGGACUUCAUAUUGUGUGCUUUCAUGUUUUUUUUUACUCCUUUUGCAAAUAUCAUUUUUGUUGUUGUCUCGGUUCUUUUCAAUUGUAGCUUUUACAGAUGUACCAACUGCCUCUAUUUCUUUUGUUGUGAUACCUUAUUACAUUUUUUUUUACAUUGCUAUUUUUUUUGGAACCCUCCUGAGUCUGUGGUCAACGAUGGCUGUGAGAGUGCGAUCUCAUACACCUAUUGGAGUGUGGGUUUUGCUGCUGCUGUGCCGGUAGCAGGAAUACUACCACAGCUCUUAGUCCUACAUUUGCUCAUACGCUCGAUAACAUUCCAACACUAAACUAUAACACUAGGGACGCAUUCCCCACACUAUUAUACAGAACCCCACUACAGACCCGGGGCCUGUUCCCUAAGGGUGGAUUGUUUUGGAACACUUCCGUGAUCAAUCUUUUGCAUAGAGCUGGCAGAUUCUUGGUUCCGCAUGUUAAACAUUAAUCGUCUGUUCUAUCAGCAAUGCUCUGAACCUCCUAUACCACUAACAAUAACACUAGUUCAGUCAGUACUUGCUGUUACACUAGCCAGAACAAUGUGCUGUACGUAUGGACCCAAAAGGCAUUGGUUGAAAAAGAGGGGUUGGUUUUCUGUAGAAAUUACACUUAUGUUUCGGGAGAAUUGGAUUCCUCAGAGGAAACUCAAGUAUAAACAGACGGUAGGACCAGACUUGAGCAUAGACUAGGGGGGGGGAAUGAAAAGCACAUUUUGGGAGCAUUUUUUUUGUAUGAUUUUUUUAUAUAUACUUUGACUUUUCAUUUUGUGUCCGUGUUUUGGGUUUUUAAUAUUGUUUUCUGAUUUGGGAAUGGUUGUUGGGAGUGGUGGGUGAAGCAUUAUGCAAUCUCUAUUCUACUUUUUAUUUUAGUCUGCUUUUGUAACUUUUCUUUAAUGGCAAAGGAGACUACUCAACUUUUUAUUUUUUUUAUAUUGUUGCCACAUGCGUCGUUUCUCUGUAGCAUUGCCUAUUCAUGUACAAAUAUGAUGAACUUGCCUUGGCUCUGAAAAGUUUCAUUUUCUUCAGUAAGAGUAUGUAACUGGCAAUGCUGUUUUUAUAAAAUAAAGAUCUUUUCUCAGA